rnacentral:rRNA from 1 species
GGAUGAACGCUAGCGGCAGGCUUAACACAUGCAAGUCGAGGGGUAACAGGGAAAAGCUUGCUUUUCCGCUGACGACCGGCGCACGGGUGCGUAACACGUAUGCAACCUACCUUUCACUGGAGGAUAGCCCCGAGAAAUCGGGAUUAAUACUCCAUAACAUCACAGAUUCGCAUGUUUCUGUGAUCAAAGCUCAGGCGGUGAGAGAUGGGCAUGCGACCUAUUAGUUUGUUGGUGAGGUAACGGCUCACCAAGACUACGAUAGGUAGGGGGUCUGAGAGGAUGAUCCCCCACACUGGUACUGAGACACGGACCAGACUCCUACGGGAGGCAGCAGUGAGGAAUAUUGGUCAAUGGACGAAAGUCUGAACCAGCCAUGCCGCGUGCAGGAAGAAUGCCCUAUGGGUUGUAAACUGCUUUUGUGUAGGAAGAAACCCCCUGACGUGUCAGAGGCUGAAUGUACCAUACGAAUAAGCACCGGCUAACUCCGUGCCAGCAGCCGCGGUAAUACGGAGGGUGCAAGCGUUAUCCGGAUUUAUUGGGUUUAAAGGGUUCGCAGGCGGAAAAUUAAGUCAGUGGUGAAAGCCUACAGCUCAACUGUAGAAGUGCCAUUGAUACUGAUUUUCUUGAGUAUAGUUGAAGUGGGCGGAAUGUGUCAUGGCAGCGGUGAAAUGCAUAGAUAUGACACAGAACACCCGAUAGUGAAGACAGCUCCCUAAACUAUUACUGACGCCCAGGAACGAAAGCGUGGGGAGCGAACAGGAUUAGAUACCCUGGUAGUCCACGCCGUAAACGAUGAUUACUCGUUAUUGGCUUAUGUCGGUGUCCAAGCGAAAGUGAUAAGUAAUCCACCUGGGGAGUACGAUCGCAAGGUUGAAACUCAAAGGAAUUGACGGGGGCCCGCACAAGCGGUGGAGCAUGUGGUUUAAUUCGAUGAUACGCGAGGAACCUUACCAGGGCUUAAAUGCAGAACGACCGGCGUGGAAACAUGCCUUUCUUCGGACGGACUGCAAGGUGCUGCAUGGUCGUCGUCAGCUCGUGCUGUGAGGUGUCGGGUUAAGUCCCAUAACGAGCGCAACCCCUAUCUUUAGUUGCCAGCGGGUAAUGCCGGGGACUCUAGAGAAACUGCCAGCGUAAGCUGAGAGGAAGGUGGGGAUGACGUCAGAUCAUCACGGCCCUUACGUCCUGGGCUACACACGUGCUACAAUGGCAAGGACAAUGAGCUGCCAACCCGCGAGGGUGAGCAAAUCUUCAAACCUUGUCUCAGUUCGGAUCGGAGUCUGCAACUCGACUCCGUGAAGUUGGAAUCGCUAGUAAUCGCGUAUCAGCCAUGACGCGGUGAAUACGUUCCCGGGCCUUGUACACACCGCCCGUCAAACCAUGGAAGAUGGGAGUGCCUGAAGUCGGUCACCGAAAGGAGCGCCUAGGGUAAAACCAAUGACUGGGGU